GACGAACGCUGGCGGCGUGCUUAACACAUGCAAGUCGAACGGUGAAGCUCCAGCUUGCUGGAGUGGAUCAGUGGCGAACGGGUGAGUAACACGUGAGCAACCUGCCCCUGACUCUGGAAUAAGCGCUGGAAACGGCGUCUAAUACUGGAUACGAGAAGGGUCCGCAUGGGCACUUUCUGGAAAGUUGUUCGGUUGGGGAUGGGCUCGCGGCCUAUCAGCUUGUUGGUGAGGUAAUGGCUCACCAAGGCGACGACGGGUAGCCGGCCUGAGAGGGCGACCGGCCACCCUGGUACUGCGACACGGCCCAGACUGCUACGGGAGGCAGCAGUGGGGAAUAUUGCACAAUGGGCGAAAGCCUGAUGCAGCGACGCCGCGUGUGUGAUGACGGCCUUCUGGUUGUAAACCUCUUUCAGCAGAGAAGAAGCGAUAGUGACGGUACCUGCAGAAGAAGCACCGGCUAACUACGUG
rnacentral:rRNA from 1 species